rnacentral:tRNA from 9 species
UCCGCGGUAGCUCAGUGGUAGAGCAAUCGGCUGUUAACCGAUUGGUCGUAGGUUCGAAUCCUACCCGCGGAGCCA